AGGUGUGUGGAGUACACUUCCCUGACGGCAGACCAACGCAGGAACACCCAUAUCCCAUAAUAUGGGAUAUGAAUAUAGUAAAGCACCAUCAUGUGGAAGACCACCCACAAAGAGGAGAUGUCUCCAGCCCCCAACAGAGAGACCAUGUGAUGAGCCUCCUGUGACAAAUUCUGAUACCGAAGUAGGGCAUAGCUUGGAGGAUAGUCUGUCUCCACACCAAUGUGAUGUUGGCACUCAGUGGCCAGAGCGUAGUGAUCAUGAUUAUUGUUCGAUGAAGUCAACAAAAGAUGCAAGCACACAAACAGAUCCUACACCAUCACUGUCAGCUCAUGACAUGGAUGAUAAAGUGUCAAAAUUUUACAUUGGACUAGACAUCAUCAGCUUUUGGCAACUUUUGAACACCAUCAUUGGCUUUCUUCCACAGUCGAAGACGUUCAAAUUAACAGUCCAUGAACAGCUACUGCUGGUCCUAAUGAGGGUUCGGCUUGGCUUAAUGUUCACAGAUUUGGGAUCAGCAGAACUACAGCCUGUGAUAUGUUCGCAAUGUGGAGAGCAACACUUUCCCAAGGGAAAAUCUUUUUUUUGGCUCCCUCGAGACACUCUGAAUAGAGUAAGACCCUCAAGUUUUCUUGAACACUAUCCCAAUGCAACAUGCAUCAUAGAUUGCACUGAAAUAUUUGUCCAAAGACCGAAGAACUUGGGGAAAAGAGCAAAAACAUACAGCAACUAUAAGCAUCACAACACCUACAAAGUCCUCUAUUGCAUAGCCCCCCAAUGGUUUUGUGAUGUAUUGUGUCAAAACUGUUUGGUGCCAGAGCUAGUGACAUUUUUAUCACAAAAAACUGUGGAUUUCUGUCACAUUUGAUUUUUGGUGAUCAGAUUUUGACAGACCGGGGAUUCACAAUUGGAGAUGUUCUUCCUCCAGGAGUGACAUUGGCUAUUCCAGCACUUACACGUGGAUGUACACAACUAUCAGAACAUGAAGUCACAAGAACCCGCCGUCUCGCCAAUGUCCGAAUUCAUGUUGAACGUGCAAUAAGAAGGUUAAAAUGCUUCAAAAUUUUGAGUAAUGUAAUUCCAGGUUGUUUAAAACAUGUUGAUGACAUUUUGACUAUUUGUGCAGGCCUGUGUAACCUUCUUGAAAUCUUACAAACAUGUUUGGCAUACACUACACUUGUCCCUGUCUGUAGGCCUACAUGUCAGCAUCAUCUUCCAACUUGUCAGCGAUAAUAUGCCCAAGAUAUUUUGUACUGCUUGACACACAGUGAUUGCCCUGACAGGUAAAACGUUGGAAAGACUUCCUGAACACAACACUUUUUUUGCAUUGUACUGUAUUUUUUUGCAUUGUACUGUAGGCCUACAUCAAACUCAACCCCAGAGCACACAUUCAGAAGUUGCUGAAACUCAACAGUGCCGGGGGACAUGGGCCUAAUAACCAGAUCAUCAAAUGGUUGAAAACGGUGCAUGUGUUUUAUUGUCUGUGUCUAAAUCUCGUCAUACAUCCAGUGUGUUUUGUUUUUUUAACAGACGUGUUUUCACAAUGACACUCUGAGAAUUUACUUUUGAACAAAGUGUCUUGUGUAUAAAAUGGUGUGCAGACAGCCGGAGUGUGUGUGUUGCGUAAAGGAGCAAGUGCUUUGCAAAGAUACCAGCUGAAAGUGUAAUGCUUGACUUUUGAUUAAGGUCAAGGUGGCCUAAGGUGCUGGGGGAAACUCUCUCUCUAGGCUAGGCCUAAUCAGAAAGCAAGGUGUGUGUGUGUGUGUUUUUUUUUUUUUUUAAACCUGUCAUUAAAGGGACACUGCAAGAUUUAUAGUUGUUUAUUUCCAGAAUUCAUGCUACUCAUUCACUAAUGUUACAUUUUUCAUGAAUAUUUACCACCACCAUCAAAUUCUAAGUAUUCAUUAUGACUGGAAAAAUUGCACUUUUCAUACAUACAAAGGGGGAUCUCCUCCAUCAUGGUCUGCCAUUUUGAAUUUCCAGAAAUAGCCAUUUUUAGCUGCAAAAAUGACUGUACUUGGGCCAUAACAGAAAAUCUGAGUUUAUUAUUUAGUAAACUUUCAUGAAAUAUACUUUCAUCAAAUUUGGCAAUAGGCAACCCAGUUACAAUGAGCAGUAUAGUUGCAGUACCCUUUUUGAUGAGUGGAGGUGCAAAACGCACACCAGAAACAGAGGUGCUGGCAACCAGAAAAAGCAAUUGUAGAAGGAGAGAGGUGCCGCACACUCACAAGUUAAAUAAACAGUUUUUUAAUGUGACACACCCUUUUUGACCAUUUCCUGCAGUGUCCCUCUAACUGAUAAAAUAAAGCCUUGUUGGCCUCAACAUGUCAUUAAUUUCACCAUGUAAAUCGUGCCUUGCAAGAACUGAUAUUUUGAGGCAGUGUUAAGACAGUGGGUUGCACCAGCUGAUUGCUUAGGCUACUUAACCACAGCCCUUUUAGAAGACAUCACCUCCCGUCCUCUCCUUGUGGUAGCGUCUCCAGCAAUAAGUAAGGAUUUGGCGCCCCUUAGUGGCAAGCUGUGCACCCAGCGAUGAACAAACAGACUGCAAAACUCAGACAAUCGCAUAUUAUGUGGCAGAGGUAAUGAUAAAAUGAUGUCUGGUAUAGUCAGGAGGUAAUGAAAAAAGCCAGUAUAACAUUUCCCAAUCAAUAUAAGGGGGAUAAUGAUUAAUUAAAUUGAAUGUGUGACAGUGGCACCAGCUCUCUGUUAAGACUGGACACCACAGGUCAGCUCCUGUGUCUAUUCCACAACACACUACAGCAAGAUUUUACAUUACAUUACAUUUCACUUAGCUGACGCUUUCAUUUGUUCAAAGCGACUUACAACUAUUAUUUUUCAGGAUAUUGGUUACAGUCCCUGGAGCAAUGUGGGGUUAGGUGCCUUGCUCAAGGGCACUUCAGCCAUGGAUGGAGGUGUAGGGAGAGGUCGUGGGGGAUUCGAACCGGCAACCCCUAGAUUGAAAGACCAACUCUCUAACCACUAGGCCAUGGCUGCCCAGAUUUCUCACAAAGAGCUGCAUUGAAAUGACAUUAAGAACAUUAGUAAUUAAUAACAAGUUGCCUAGUAAAAAACACACCAGCAAGAGUCAUUUAGUGUAUUGAGCACAAGUAGCUAGGUUGUUUUUCAGUUCAGCACAUAUAAAAAACACCAUCGAGUAA